GAUGAACGCUAGCGGCAGGCCUAAUACAUGCAAGUCGAACGGUCCACUUCGGUGGAUAGUGGCGCACGGGUGCGUAACACGUAUGCAACCUGCCUUACAUUGGGGGAUAGCCUUUCGAAAGGGAGAUUAAUACCGCAUAAGACAGUAACAUGGCAUCAUGUAGCUGUUAAAGAUUUAUCGAUGUAAGCUGGGCAUGCGUCCAAUUAGUUAGUUGGUGAGGUAAAGGCUCACCAAGACGAUGAUUGGUAGGGGAACUGAGAGGUCAAUCCCCCACACUGGCACUGAGAUACGGGCCAGACUCCUACGGGAGGCAGCAGUAGGGAAUAUUGGGCAAUGGACGCAAGUCUGACCCAGCCAUGCCGCGUGCAGGAAGAAGGCGUUCUGCGUUGUAAACUGCUUUUAUAUAGGAAGAAACGACCCUUGCGAGGGGCAUUGACGGUAUUAUAUGAAUAAGCACCGGCUAACUCCGUGCCAGCAGCCGCAGUAAAAC
rnacentral:rRNA from 1 species